rnacentral:misc_RNA from 1 species
GAAAACUCUUCCGAAACCGAAACUGACUGAAACUACCUCGACCGACCUUAGAACCCAAGAACCCUACGGGUGCGGCCACUAUGUCUAUCGAGGCAGUUUUCGACCAGGUUACCGACCCAUCGCUCCGCGCUGUGAUUCAGGAGGAAGCGCACAAACAGAUCAAAGAUUUAUUUAAGGAAACGACGCGCUGCAAUCCCUACGCCAUACCGCAAGCUGGGCGCAAGGUUUUGGAGAAGUACGCCAUCCCCUACAACCCGUACUCUCUCAAACUACACCCUCACGCAGCCUCAAAAGCGUUUGAAGUGUCGCUCUACGAGGCUGCAUCUAACUACCUCCCCUCCACCUCCUCAACUCCCGUCACAUUCAUGUUCACAAAACCGGGCAAGCUCAGAUUCUUCAGGCGCCGAGGUCACGUGGACAAAUUCGUUAAUGCUGACAUAGUUCCAAGAGACUUGGCUAGAUACCCACGCGACACAGUCUACAGUUAUCUGCCCGAGAUCACCACCACACACGCUUUCAUUGGCGACACCCUACAUCACUUCGGUGAGGACUUUCUCGUCGAGGUUUUCUCCAGGUCACCGAAACUAGAAGUGCUUCUAGCCACCAUGGUAUUACCACCCGAAGCCUUUUACAGCAUGGAGUCCCUUCAUCCCUCGGUUUACACUCUCCUCUACAGGGACGACCGAUUCCUAUACCUGCCUGGUGGCCUGUCUGGCGGUGAGUACGAACAUCGCUAUAAGGACCUAAACUGGCUAACAUUUGGCACAGUUACGCACGGCGGGAUCACUAUCACAGGAGAACGCAUUGAGACUAAGGCCGCGAAUCAUCUUUUCCUCUUCAGAAGAGGGCGACUGGCGACACCAAAAUUCCGCUCAUUCGAUAUGCCCGAGCCUAUGGUCCUGCUUCCCAAGGUUUUCCGCCCCGCAAAGUACAAUGUGCAGAAGCCGAUUCCCCGGGAGAAAGCAAACAAAUGGUUGAUGUACGUUAAAUCCAUCGGCAAUGCCACCAUUCGUGACGUAUGGGCUAAGCUGAGGCAAACCAUAGCCAAUGCAGACAUUGGACUCUUCUCGCCCACGGAGCUCGUGCAUCUCACGAAUUACUUCCUGCUCCUGGGCCGGCUUGACUCACACAACUCCUUCGACCAAGUACUGGCCGACAGUGUGCUGAAAGCAUGGUUCAGACCAAUGGUCGCGAAGCUUCAGGAGAUCAAGCACAAACUCAUGGGGCAGACCCAAUUCAUGCAACUCUGCCAAGCGCUAGAGAUGACGGAGGUGGACCUAGUCUUUGAGGUCCGGGACUCCAAGACUCCCCACAAACAAGCUGUGCCGUUGGACCGUGAAAUUGAAAACGUUUUGUUGGAAGGAGUCUCAUCGGAGCCAACUUACACUGAAACCGAAGGCGUUGCUGAUGGUCCACUUCCCCCCCCAAUGCAAACUGCAGCCGAGCCGUCCGCGACCUCAGACGAGCCCGAGAGCUCUAGCUCGCGUGAAAUUGAGCACCAACCGGCGCCUGAGAUCACGCUUGACGCGGAAGAACCUCAGCGAGACGAUCUGCCUUGGGACGCUUGGAAAACACAAUUGAGGGCGCUUGGCUUCGAGGCCUCCGAAAGGCAGUAUGACCCGGACGGUGAACUGAUCUCUCCUAUCCUGAGCACCCGAAGGUUGCCUAAAACUCCCAUAGACACAACACUCUACGCCACGCUAGACAAGAUUGCACGCUGCCCAACUUUCUACAAGCCUGACACAGAUCGCGCGCAGACUUACGCUCGCGAUGUCAUGGCGGGGAAAACCGGUGCCAUUCUCAAGCAACAACCCUUUGAGUGGAAAACCACGCUCAAGCGCAAAACUAAAGAGGAACCGAAGGAAAUUCACCUUGCGGUGUUGCAUGGUGCGGGCGGGUCGGGCAAAUCCUACGCACUGCAGGAAUUUAUGCGGAACAACCCUGACACACCAAUUACGGUCAUCCUGCCGACUAACGAGCUCAGGGCCGACUGGAAGAAAAAAUUGCCCGCCCACGACAAAGACACAUUUAUGACAUACGAAAACGCGCUCUUGUGCCCUCGUGGAGACAUCUUCAUUAUGGACGAUUACACAAAAUUGCCCAGGGGCUACAUUGAGGCUUUCGUGCAGAAUGCACCUGCCCUCUCACUUCUGAUACUCACCGGUGACCCCAACCAAGCCGAACACUUUGAGACCACUGAGGACAAUGAAAUUAACGACCUCGCCCCCGCCUCAGUGGUCUUCGGCAAGUUCUCUAGGUACCACAUAAAUGCCACACACCGCAACCCCAGAAACUUGGCAAACGCCCUCGGUGUUUACUCCGAGACGCCCGGGGAGGUUAAAGUGCUUUACACGAGGAACAUCAGGACCGGUUAUCACAAUCUCGUGCCCUCACAAAUGAAGAUGAGAAAUUACGCCUCACUCGGGCAGCGAGCGUCCACCUAUGCGGGUUGUCAGGGGAUCACCGCGCCCCGCGUUCAAAUCAUCCUAGACUCCGACACACCCCGGUGCACCAGGCAAGUCAUGUACACUGCACUCUCAAGGGCCACGACGGAAGUGGUGCUCUGCAACACGAUGCCGGAUGAGAAAAGCUUCUUCCAGAAGGUUGAAGCAACACCGUACCUCAAAGCCAUCCUCAACCUCAACAAAGAGAUUAAAGUCACUGAGGGUGACUUGACAGAAGAACCGCCGAGGGAGCCCGCUCCUCCCACCACGCACCUGCCUGUUGAAAACAGAAUUAUUCUUAAUGAGGCCCUAGUCGAACCGCUGCCCGACAAAUAUGACCGCGAGAUCUACUCCAACUCCACUGGCUUUUCAAACUGCAUACAGACUCAAGACCCGUACAUCCAAGCCUUCCAACAUCAGCAAGCCAAGGACGAGACAUUGUUCUGGGCAACCGUCGAGAAGAGGCUCGCAGCAUCUACGCCGAAGGACAACUGGACAGAAUUCAGGACUAAGAGACCUCUGGGUGACGUGCUUUGGCUCGCGUACAAGCGGGCGAUGGAGCUCCCAGAUGAGCCCAUCAAGUUUAACCCAGAGCUCUGGUGGGCAUGUGCAGAUGAGGUGCAAAAGACCUACCUCUCCAAGCCCAUACACGCACUCAAGAACGGAAUUCUUCGGCAGUCACCCGACUUUGACUGGAACAAACUGCAGAUUUUCCUCAAGUCACAGUGGGUUAAGAAAAUUGACAAAAUCGGGAAAAUUGACGUCAACGCUGGACAGACAAUUGCCGCAUUUUACCAACCAACCGUUAUGCUGUUUGGAACCAUGGCGAGAUACAUGCGCCGCAUCCGCGACACUUAUCAACCCGGCGACAUACUCAUCAAUUGCGAGAAGAACCAGAAGCACAUUUCGAAGUGGGUCGAGAGCAAUUGGAACCACCGCCUACCUGCUUACACCAAUGACUUCACUGCUUACGACCAAAGCCAAGACGGGGCUAUGUUACAGUUUGAGGUACUGAAAGCCCUGCACCAUGAUAUCCCUCAUGAGGUUGUGGAAGCCUACGUAGCCCUCAAACUCAACUCAAAAAUGUUUCUGGGCACACUGGCGAUUAUGAGAUUAACUGGUGAGGGACCCACCUUCGACGCUAACACAGAGUGCAACAUCGCUUACACACACGCCCGGUUCGAGAUCCCAAAGAAUGUGGCGCAAAUGUACGCGGGUGACGACUGUGCGCUCAACUGCAGGCCCGUUGAACGGCAGUCCUUCCUGCCUCUUGUGGAGAAAUUCACCCUGAAAUCAAAACCUAAAGUAUUUGAGCAAAAAGUUGGGUCAUGGCCUGAGUUCUGCGGCAAUCUGAUCACCCCACGGGGCUACCUCAAGGAUCCCAUGAAGCUACAACACUGCCUGCAACUGGCACAGAGGAAGAAACCAUCCGAACCUGGGUCGCUUAAAGACGUUGCUGAGAACUACGCUAUGGACUUGCUACCUACAUACGAGCUAGGUGAUGCACUCUACGAAAUCUUCGACGAGAGGCAAAUGAACGCGCACUAUCAGUCGGUCAGGACGCUUAUCACAUGCGCCCACACCAAAGUCCUCCGAGUUGCACAGGCACUUCAGGAAGACUGCACCCUCUUUAGCUCCAUCUAACAGGUUUUGAGUUAGGCUAACUCCACUGACGAAUUAAAUAACAAUGGAUAGUGAAAUAGUUGAACGACUAACAAAGCUUGGUUUCGUCAAAACUUCACACACGCACAUCGCUGGCGAGCCCCUCGUGAUCCACGCUGUUGCUGGGGCCGGUAAAACCACCCUCCUUCGGUCCCUACUUGAAUUACCUGGAGUGGAAGUCUUCACAGGCGGGGAGCACGAUCCUCCAAACUUGUCAGGGAAAUAUAUCCGCUGUGCUGCACCCCCUGUGGCCGGUGCAUACAACAUUCUUGACGAGUACCCCGCGUACCCAAAUUGGCGAUCGCAACCCUGGAACGUCCUAAUCGCCGACAACCUACAAUACAAAGAACCCACAGCUCGCGCCCACUACACAUGCAAUCGCACUCACCGCCUGGGGCAGCUCACUGUUGACGCUUUGCGUAGGGUUGGUUUCGACAUCACCUUUGCCGGCACGCAGACUGAAGACUACGGAUUCCAGGAAGGCCAUCUCUACACUAGUCAAUUUUACGGACAGGUCAUUUCACUUGACACGCAGGCCCAUAAGAUUGCUGUGCGCCACGGACUUGCACCCCUGUCCGCUUUAGAAACCCGGGGGCUGGAAUUUGAUGAGACCACUGUGAUAACGACUAAAACCUCGCUGGAGGAAGUGAAGGACAGGCACAUGGUCUAUGUCGCUCUCACAAGGCACAGGCGCACCUGCCAUCUCUACACCGCUCACUUUGCGCCCUCCGCCUGACAACACGAAAGCCAUACUAACUGUAGCUAUAGGAAUAGCCGCCUCCCUCGUCUUUUUCAUGCUCACACGCAACAAUCUGCCACACGUUGGUGAUAACAUCCACUCACUACCCCACGGAGGCAGUUACAUUGACGGUACCAAGUCCAUCAACUACCGCCCACCUGCGUCACGCUACCCCUCAUCUAACUUAUUCGCUUUCGCUCCACCAAUACUCGCCGCGGUACUCUUUUUCCUCACACAGCCAUAUCUAGCUACCAGACGAUCCAGGUGCGUUCGGUGCUUCGUUGUCCACGGGGCAUGCACGAAUCACACCUAGUUGUUAUAUUAGCGCUGUUACUUAUAGCUCUGUGGUGUCUAAGCACUCGACCCGUUCAACCAUCGUGCCAUGUCGAAAUCAACGGCCACUCCAUCAUCGUCACCGGAAACUGCUGGCACUCCACUCAACGACCGCAUUGAGGGUGUUAGGGUAACCAGCAUCAGUGAAGAGAAACAACCCACCUCAAGUGUGACCUCAUCAUUUCAGGACACAAUGGCAACACAAAAUGCCGACGUCACUGAUGCGACGGACUACAAGAAACCGCCUGCUGAAACUGAGCAGAAGGCACUCACCAUUCAACCACGAUCAAACAAGGCGCCCAGUGACGAGGAGUUGGUACGCAUCAUCAACGCGGCGCAGAAGCGAGGCCUCACACCCGCGGCCUUUGUUCAAGCAGCUAUAAUCUUCACCAUGGAAUCCAUGGACAAGGGCGCCACCGACUCCACGAUUUUCACGGGAAAACACAACACUUUCCCAAUGAAAAGUCUGGCGCUAGCUUGCAAAGAUGCUGGCGUGCCCGUGCACAAACUUUGCUACUUCUAUACCAAGCCGGCUUACGCGAACCGUAGGGUCGCCAACCAGCCGCCUGCUCGCUGGACUAACGAGAAUGUGCCCAAAGCUAACAAGUGGGCGGCUUUCGACACCUUCGACGCACUUCUCGACCCAUACGUAGUCCCAUCCUCUGUACCGUACGAUGAGCCCACGCCAGAGGAUCGCCAAGUCAAUGAGAUCUUCAAGAAGGACAAUUUGAGUCAGGCAGCAUCCAGAAACCAACUCCUAGGAACGCAAGCCUCCAUCACGCGCGGGAGACUCAACGGCGCACCAGCACUACCAAACAAUGGGCAGUACUUCAUCGAGGCACCUCAGUGAUCAGUAGUAUGAUACCAAUAAAUAAAUCGGGCGAAUCCGCGCCUCCUGACUAUGGGCAGGUUUACGGACCAAGCUGUAUCGAGAUACGACCUAACAGUAACGCAGCUAAGGGGUGAAUGCACACAUCGCUUAU